AGUUGUUCUAAACCUGUAUGAAUUUCUUCCUUCAGCUGAACACAGAAGAUAUUUUGAAGAAUAUCUGUAACCAAACAGUUGAAAGACCCCACUGACUUCCAUAGUAGUUUUUCCCCAUACUAUGAAGUCAAUGGGGACUCGCCCUGCACAAAUCAUGUGGCUUGUAGAAGGAAGGUGUGUUAUUACUUUUCUAAACAAUCAAAGUUAAGAUUUCACUUGGCAGACGCCAACACUGAGGGAGGGAACUAAGCAUAUCUAAUUUGACUUGGAACAGUGAGCGACUGCCUAGACACUCUCAUCACUGCAGAGAGUUUUGCACUGGUAAGUUGCACUCACAUAUUUCAGAAUACAUAAAAAUAAAAUUAAUGACAGUGAAACCUGAUGUCAUGAGUCUUGGACAUUGACUUGAAUAAAUACCUUGUGGUUUUAAUUAUGUGGCAAUAUUUUCUUAGUGGCAACAGAACAGGCAUAUUUCAUUUACAUCCAACAAAUAUGACCUGGUCGCCUUCUUUGACCCCCUGUCCUGUCAAAUGGAGAUUUCACCUCAUAAACAAUACCAGUGAGUGGUCCUCUUCUGUCAAUAUCACUCACAGCACGCUGUAAAGUUUUAAAAGUUCCACCCUAUUUCUUGGCAUUUUAAAUGCGAUCACACUGGGAUUUCAUAUCUACUGGCAUGUUGCCUUUGCCAGAACAUUUUGUUUCUCCUACCAUUGUGAAAGGAAAUUUCCUUUCUUAUUUUUACUCCGUUUUCAGAUGUGAAGUUUUUAAAGGUACAUUAUGAAACUUUUGCUGUUCAAAAUUAGCACAAUAUAUAUUAUAAUAUAUAUUAUACAAUAUAUAUAUUAGACCUGUCAGGAUGGUUUCGCAGGAAACUGCAUACAUACGUCACUCACCCGUGCAUGUCUGGUCACAUCCAAAAAAGAGAAAAGUUGCUCCAGCAACUUUGACUUGUAUAUGGUGUGGUUAGCUUUUGUCACAACGAGUGAGAAAGGUUGAUAUGGAUGGAGCAUGCUAAAUCUUGACCCUCUGAGGAAUCACUCGUUUUAAACAACGCAGAACAGAGGAGAGUCUGCUGGCAAAAAGAGAAGGCGACAGACCUCGUAAUAAAACAAGAAUCAAGAUUGGUUUGGCUUUUCGGAGAUGGCGAGAACCAGGCCCGGAUUGGCUAAUCGGGAGCACCGGGAAAAUUCCCGGUGGGCUGGUCUGUUUUUUUUUUUUUUUUUGGCCUCGAGGGCUGGUGUUGGCAGCCCCGUCAAGUCUUCAUGCCACUCCCAUGGCCAUAUGGCAUACAGGUCAGGCAGCCUGCUUCCAUCAGCAAGAGUUAAUUUACAAAAAUAGCUGUCACGGUCCCGCAGAGUCAGUGACUGUACAUAUUUGGACAGUUCCGAACCUCCUUCUGCAUCCAUGUUUAAUAAAUCCCUCCUUAAAUGUGCUAGCUUAUGCGUCCAGCGCCUCUUUUUGCCUCCAGCUAAGCCCCGCCCACCAGGAAACGUUGCAAUGUUUACAAACUUUUAAGGGGUCUAUAGACCUUAUUUACCAGAGAAACAAGCGCGCCGCCAUCUUUAUAAAAUCGUCUUUGAACUUUCGUUUUGCGGUAGCCCUGUACAUUUCUAUGGCAUCGCUGUCAAAGAAUAAUUAGUUGGUUAAGUGGAUUUACUUGUUGUAGAGUUAAUGAAAGUUAUCAUGAGCAUUGUUAUGUUUAAAGCAGAUGUCUUAACAAAUGUCAGUAGAUCGGGAAGAUUUUAAAACGAGCAGUUCAUUCAUAAAUGUAAUAUCGCUGUGGAAAUACAAACCGGAAGUCAAAAGACAACGAGCGCAACGCUGAAAGGGGGCGGGGCUACACAAGGUCUAUAAUGUUAAGAAAAAUGACUCUAAGCCACCGGAGGCCGAUUUAGGUUGCCUAAAUAAAUAAAAAGGAAGAGGGGAAACGUGCAAAAGAUAAAGGCAUGUAUGUAGCUAUUUCUCAUAUCAUAAUAGUAGGCAAAAAUUAAAAUAUAGGGCCUAUCAUUUAGCUAUGCUAUGUUUCUUGCUAAUAUGCUACACACAGGAAAACAAUAUUCAUUUUUCUGUCCAACUAGCUUACAUAACCAGACAGUAAGAUGUGAUUUUUGUAAGAUAAUGUAACUUUUUUAAACAAAUGUGAUAUUACUCACUUUAAUAUUUUUACUGUAAAGUUGUGCAGUUUUGGGGGAUUUAUGGUAUUUUAUGUUAUUUAUUUGCCUCAAUUUGUAAUAAUUGUAUAUAGUAAGUAUAUAUAUAUAUAUAUAUAUAUAAAAUAGGAAAAUGUUUAUGUUAAAACCACUUUAAAAAAGAUGUACAUUUCUCAAUUUCAUUCAAAGUGAUAGACAUGAAAAAUGUGCCUGGGUUUAGUGGACGAUUGCUGCCAUCUACUGGAAAGUAAACACUUAAUUUAAAAAAAAUAAUAAUAAUAUGAUUUUUAACUACAGUCACUAGAUGGCUAAAGAAUUAAUCAAUGGUUCACGUUAUAAAAUCAUUAUUAUAUAAUAAAAAAUGAAAUAAAAAGUAAAUAAAAAGUAUAAAAAUAAAAAGUCCCACUCCGGCCCUGGCGAGAACUGAGGGAUGUAAGAUGUUGUAAAAGCGACGCGGAGAUGACGUUUUUAUUACAUUAGUGAGUUUUAUUACUUGUAGCUCUCUAACAGAUUUUAAUGUAAAUCAUUGGGAAGAGCCAUUUAAUUUUUCCGUAAAAUGCAUGCAGUUUCUUUUUUAAGUGCUAGAGGGCCAAAAGUUACAUAGUGUGCCUUUUUAUAUAAUUUAAGUAAUGACAGAAUUUUUAUUUUUGGGCGAACCUAACAUUUAAGUAACUUUAGUUUUGUCCUCUGGGUGGCAGUAAUUCCUAUGAAAGGCAGAGACGGACAGCACAGCUGUGGGGUCACAAGCAGAAAAGCGUUUCAAAUAAAUGACAUCUUCAUAAAUAUGGAUAACAGUUGAAGAGACAUUUUAGAAAGAAACCCCCAGAACAGAUGUGCAAAAUUUUGUUUUCAUAUAUUAUUAAUCUCCUUCCUGCUAACAAGCAUCAUGUGUGCUGUAGAACAUUUCAAGUGCCAGUUCUGUAACUUAUUUACUAGUAAAGACCUCUGAAUCAGUUUGAAAGCAUAUUAAGUGGCAGAUGGUUUUCGUGCUAGUCUAUUAAACACUACUCUAUUUGCUGGCAUUAUUUAUGGUUUUGGCAAGCAGAUCAAAGCUGGUGGUUUUGGAGUAAUUUGAUGCAUGCUAACACUCUCUGCUUCACCACAUAUGGAGGUACGCUUGUGCAAUUAACAGCAGAUCAUCUGCUAAACCUCUCAUUCACUUAAGGAUAAGUUGUUUUUUAGUUGUUUUUAAUCCAACAGUCCCAAAAAUAUUAUUUUAUACUGGUGAAAUUUGAUAAACCAUAACCACUACAAUUGCACAACAUCAUUAGAUACAAGCUGUCAGCAUGUCGCUGUUCUUUCCUCAGUAAACAUGUAAUAAAUCUCAAUCAGUUCAUUUAUUAAAAGCACAUUAGUUUCCACAUCUGUGCAAAUAUUAACAAUGAAGCUAAAAUUGUGAACUAUGAACAUCCAAGUGAGAUCUUGCACACAAGUUAAAUGAGAAACAUCAUACCCUUAUGAUCAAUUUAAUUCAGUCCAGUUCUUUAUUUAUAGAGCUGCUUUUCUGAGAACAAUGGAUUAGGUUAAGUGCUUAACACAGACUGUAAGUGAGUUUAAUGGCUAAAAGGAGCACUGUCAAACAAGUAAUAUGGUAUUGGCAUUGUUUUUCAUGCACACACUGUGAUAAUACUAUGAUUUUUUUUAUUUUAUAUUAUUAUUUUUUUGGCAUGUCCCAUGGUAUAAACAAUGGUCUUCUUUAAACACCAUGUAUGUGAAUAUUUUCAAGUUCAUUUAGUACUAUGGUACUACAUUCUUAUUACUUUAAGUGAAGGUUACUCUUCUUGUCAGACAGAACUUUUACUCUCCUCUUUCUUUGUUUCUCAUGUUUUUUCUUACUCUUUUCAACUUGUUUUGUUCUCUUAGGUGAUCGCGGAAGAACAAUAAUAGACAAAUGGGAGAGCUGAUCUUGAGGUGGAGCAGAAGUGAGCUUGUUUUUGUUAUGAACACAUGAGGAUGAAAAGAAACCUUAUAUCAUCAUCUUCUUUUUCCCAAAUCCCCGCUCCAUGAAUGGAAUCUGUGAUUGCAAAACGUCCAUAUGGGACACAGAAUUCCUGGAAUCUCCUGUCCUAAUUUGACCUUUCUCACUUCAUAACACGGGCCCACAUGCUUAAUCAGAAACAGAAGCCAUCAAAGAUAUGUCGUGGAAGGAGACUGACGGUAAAUGAAAAGCGGUAAAGAUCAUGUGCCUCCAAAGGUAUUUGAUACCCAAAUAGAAUCACAUUCUAUGUAAUGAAUUGUUUGUUGUUUCUUUAAAUAAGAUAUUGCUAAUUACAAAUUACAAACAUAUGGUCUUAAAGCAAUAUUUUACCCAAAUUAAUAGUUCACCCUCAUUUGGUGCAAAACUUUGUUUCUGCUGUGGAACAAUAUGUUUUGAAGAAUGUUCAUGCUGCUCUUUUAUUUUGAUCACAAAUGUCAAAAUCCAAACAAAGUACAUUAAAAGUGGCCUAUUUGA